GACCGAGCUAGCAGUCUGUUUAAAGUUCCUGUGGCUUGGGCAAAAGCCAGCCUUUACAGACACGGUUUCAUAGUAGAGAGACGUUUUCCCUUACGACUGGCCAAGUUUUAAAUCCUUCAAUGGUUGAAUCUGAUUAGGAAGGAAGACUGGCCCUGAGCUAACAUUCAUGCCCAUCUUCCUCUACUUUCUAUGUGGAACACCUGCCACAGCAUGGUUUGACAAGUGGGGUGGGGGUCUGCACCCGGGAUCCGGGCCGGUGAACCCUGGGCUGCCAAUGCGGAGUGUACAAGCUUAGCCGCUGCGCCACCAGGCCAGUCACCACUUUCAUGGAAUUUUGUGUUCAUUAUUAAGUUAGUUCCCCACACAAUCUCUGUGAAAAAGCUAUGGAAAUCUAACAGAUGAAGAAAGCAGAGAAAAAAGAAGGAAAUGGCUUGCUGAGAUCACAGUUUGGCAGUGAUCCAGAAAGAUCAAUCUAUAGAUGUGGAGGAAAAAGAAUUUGUAAUUAGCAUGGCUUGACAAGCAGUGCGUAAGUCUUCACCCAGAGUCUGAACCCAUGAACCUCGGGUUGCCGAAGAAGAGCACCCAAGAUUAACCACUGUGCCACCAGGAACUGGCAGACUGUUUCCCAAAGUGGCUGAAUCAUUUUAUGUUCUUACAAGCAAUACAUGGAUUCAAUUUCUCCACAUCCUCUCCAACACUUAUUUUCUUUUUAUUAUUAUUAUAGCCAUAAUAGUGGGUGUGAAGUAACACCUCAUUGUGGCUUUGAUUUACAUUUUCUUAAUGACUAAUAAUAUUAAGCAUUUUUUAUGUGUUUGUAGGCCAUUUGUAUGUCUUCUUUGGAAAAAUGUGUAUUCAAGUCCUUUAUUCAUUUUUAAUGGUUUUUGAGCUGUAAGAGUUCAUAUAUUCUGGAUACUAGCCUCUCAUCAAACACAUGAUUUCCAAACAUUUUGUUCCAUUAUGCAUGUUGUCUUUCAAUUUCUUGAUAAUGUUCUUUGAUGAAAAAAUGAUUUUAAUAUUAGUGAAGUUAAAUUUAAUUAUUUUUUAAUUUUAUUGUUCAUGCUUUUGCUCUCAUAACAAAGAAUCCACUAUCAAAUCCAAGAUAAUGAAGAUUUACCUCUAUGUUUUUUUCUAAUAAUUUUAUGAUUUUAACCCUUUUAUUUAUGUCAUUGAUCCAUUUUGAGUUGAUCUUUGCAUAUUAGCCAUUUAACUUUGAUGCCCAUUGGUGUGGUUCUCCUUGUGUUGAUCUGGCUUAGAACACUGAUCUUCUUGGAUUUGAAAGUUGAUGUUUUGCCUAUUUAUUCAAAUAUUUUUUUCUACUUUAAUCUCUCUAAAGUUCUUUCUGUAAUUAAAUGUAUGUUGUACCAUCUGCUAUUGUCCCAUGGUGUAUAAUAAUGCUGUUCAUUUUAUUUUAUUUUCCUAGUUUUUUGCUGUAUUUUUUUUCUAUCCUUCAGAUUAGAUAAUUUCUAUUGAUCUGUCUUUAACCUUACCAACUCUUUUUUUUCGGCUGUUUCCCAUAUUCAUUCAUGCUCAUGAAGUGAACUUUUCACAUCAUUUAUUGUGCUUUUAAAUUUUAGAAUUUCCAUUAGGUGUAUUUAGAGUUUCAGUUUCUCCAUUAGGAUUUCUCCAUCUCUGCCUCAUUAUGAUCAGUUUUUACUUUAAGGUUUUGAACAUAUUUAUGAUAAAUGUGAUGCUAAGUGAAAUAAGCCAAUCAUGAAAUAAUACAUACACAAUACAGUAUGAUUCAACUCAUAUGAACAUGCCAAAUUACUCUAUGGUGGAAUAAAUCAAAAGAAUGUUGGCCUUGGGGCUGGCCCCAUGGUCGAGUGCUUAAGUUUGCCUGCUCUGCUUUGGCAGCCCAGCGUUUUGCCAGUUUGGGUCCUGGGUUCAGACCUAGCACUGCUCAUCAAGUCAUGCUGAGGUAGCACCCCACAUGCCACUACUAGAAGGAGUCACAAUUAAAAUAUACAAUUAUGUACUGGGGGGCUUUGGGGAGAAGAAGGAAAAGUAAAACAAAGUAAAAUCUUUAAAAAAACAUGCUAGCCUCUGGGUUGGUGGGGGAGGACCUUGAGUGAAGGAGGAUAUGUGGGGACUUUCUAUGGUGAUGGAAGUGCUCUAUAUCUUUUUUGGGUAAGGGUUACAUGUGUAUUUAUUUUUCAAAACUUAUCAAACUGUACACUUAAGACCUUUACAUUUUGCCAUAUGUUAAUUAAACCUUAAAAUACAGACAAAACUACAGAAUAUUACUUAGGGGGUACAAAUUAGUAAAACAAAAAAGAAAAUAAUUAGGACAAAAUUCAUGAUGGAAGUUACCUCUGUAAGGAUGAGGAAAUGUGAUUUGGCAGGGGCACACGGGGGGCCUCUCACGUGCUAGUAAUGUUCGAUUUCUUAAACUGAGUACUGGAUACAUCAGUGUUAUUUUUAUUAUUAUGUCUUAGCAUGCACAUGUAUUUAUGUAUAUUUCAAAUUAGUUUCAUUUAAAGACUAGUCUAUAAAUGUCUUUAUUUUGCUUUUAAUAUUGUUGUUAUUGUUUAAAUUAUGAAAAAAAAAUAGGUCAAUGUCCCUUGGAUGUUUUCAUUGUUUCACAAAGGUAUAUAAUUUUUUCAUCAUAGAAGAUUUGACUAAUAAAGAUGAAGAAAAUUGAGUCCUUGGCAUGAGGAAAUGUACGUGGCUCAUAGAAACGCUAUAUGUUUGACCUGGAUUUUAUAGUUUAUGGAGCACCCUGAAGUCAAUUCAACCAUUUUUCAUAGUGAUAAAAAUGACUUGAUGAAAAAAGAGUAAAAAAAAUAAAUCUUUGGUAAAAAACCUUUUUAUUCUAUACUAUACAUUCAAUGUUCACAUAUACCGUGAUUAUACUUUUACUAGAACGUCAGAACUGGAACUAGGGAAUCUUUGAAAGGAAAACAUAAAAGAAACAGUGCAUAUUUUAUCACUCUUCUCUGGCUUUUACAAAUCAGAAGAGUGAGGACCAAGAAAGUGAAGUGCUUUGGGUAAGAUUACACACUUAGUUGUAAAGCGAGAACUAUAUCUGACUUCUUCUUAUAUACUCUUUCAUCCAUUUUUUUAAGCUCCACAUGAGUUAAAUUUUGUAUUCAUUCAAGUCUCUGGAUUAGUACCACCAGCUAUACAAUAGCAUAAAGAAUAAAAAAAUCACAAACAAAGUGAACCUUCUCAGCAGCUCUAACCUACCCUGCUCUCUUUCACCCCUCAUUCAUGCACUCAACAUUCAACAAGUAUUCGCUUAACAUUUUUCCAAUCAUCCUUCUAGAUCUGAGAGAAACAAAAAGAAUAAAUGAGAUUCAUUAUCUAUGGCUAGUGAUCAUUUUUAGACAAAGAGAG
rnacentral:lncRNA from 1 species